AUGGAUUUCAAGCAGCCCUCCCGCUGAGGACAAAUGACUCUGUGUCUUCCCAAUCUGUGCUCAUGUUGGCCAGAAUCAGAUAUCAUAUUUUGCCACCAGUAGACCUUAAUUUAUUGAGACGGAGUAUCUUAAUUAUUUCUCACAACAACCUUAUAAGGAAGGCAUGCCCAGCCCUGCUGCAGAUCCAUCACUGAGAUUUAUUUCCAAGAAGCAGCGACUCGUCAAGCAAGCCUUGAAUCAGCCUGGGUGGGAGUCGGCUUUCUAUCAACAAGUUUGAUGACACAGUUAAGCCUGGAAGGGGAAUGGUGCAUCUUCUUCCAAUCUGGGGAAGAGAUGCCUGGCAGAGGCCCCACAACUGCAGGUAAGUGGUGGAAAACUUCCAAACUCCUCCUCUCUCGGGGCUAAGAUCUCCUGAGCCCACAGGCGUUUUUGAAGCUGGAGCCCUGGUGUGGCUUUCUGCAAGACUGUGUUGGAAGGCAGUGCCCCUGUGCAUGGGGACAGAGGUGGGGAAGAAGACAAGGAACCUGGAGGAAAAAAGAGGAAGACCAACAGAGGGGCUUCAUCUGCAACUUCUGCCCCCAUGGUAGCUGCCGCUCCUCAGACUCAGCUUCCUGGCUGGUGCAUGGCUUUGCUUCUGUACGGAAGCAGCAUCCACAGCCAGCCUCCUCCCAUCCCAGAGACUCUUCCUGGCUGAGUUUAGUGGAGGCCCCAAACUGCAAUGGUGCUGCCAAACAUGGCCACAUCACAAAGCGGGUGACAGCUGACACUGAGUGGGACAUGCAGGGGAAGCCCUGAGGACCUGUAUUCAGCCCUUUGCUGAUGGGAACUCCAAAGCCUUCUCUGGGGAGAGGUCAUUGAUUCCAACAUGAAUGGGGUGUCUCCCAUGAGCCAGGCAUUGUGUGUACCAGGAAUUCAUUUGUGAGAAGAGCAGACAAAGGUCCCUGCCUCUUGGGACCCACAUUCCACAGGGGGAGAGGAUGGUAAUUAAUGAUGAGCAUGAUGAGAAGGCAGAUGGCCUGGUGUGUGAUGAUGCAGUAAGGGCUGGGGUAAAAGAGUUAGGGAGGGCUGGUGUGUGUGCAUGUGUGUGUGGGUGAGGACAAGGAUGCAAGUUUCUGAGAAGGUGAUGAUUCCAGGAAGACACAAAGGAAGUGAGAAAACUGGCCCUGUAGUUGUUUGAGCAAGGCUGCUCCAGGCUGAGAGCAUCACAUGCAAGUGCCCCCAGCUGGGAGUAGGCCUGGCAAAGUCAAGGGAGGACGAGGAGUCAGUGGGACUGCCACAGGUGGAGCAGAGGAGAGUGAGGACAAAAAAGCUCUUGGGGAGGGGGUCACACAAGGAGAGCUUGGGAGCCACUGCAGGUCCUGGCUUUUCCCCUGCAUAAUGCAAUGGGGAACCAUUAUCAGGCUUGAGUCAGAGAGCCCUGAAGAGCUGGCACUGGGGACCCCGAGCACUGUGCAUGAAUAGUUGCAGGAAAGACAGAAACAUGGAGCCCAGUCAACAUAUGAGAGUCCAGGUGGCCUGGGCCAGGUGGCAGCCAUGGAUAGGAGAGGUGUGGGGGAGAUUCCAGACGUGGUCUGAGGCUCGGGUUCCUAGGAAGUGAGAUUGUGAGGCACAGAGAGGGGUCAAGGAUGACUCCAUGUAGGGAAAAGAAAGAGAGAUCAGACUGUUACUGUGUCUAUGUAGAAAGGGAAGACAUAAGAAAUUCCAUUUUGACCUGUACCUUGAACAAUUGCUUUGCUGAGAUGCUGUUAAUUUGUAACUUUGCCCCAGCCACUUUGCCCCAACUUUGAGCUCACAAAAACAUGUGUUGUAUGGAAUCAAGGUUUAAGGGAUCUAGGGCUGUGCAGGACUUGCCUUGUUAACAAAAUGUUUACAAGCAGUAUGCUUGGUAAAAGUCAUCGCCAUUCUCUAGUUUCAAUAAACCAGGGGCACAAUGCACUGCAGAAAGCCGCAGGGACCUCUGCCCUGGAAAGCCAGGUAUUGUCCAAGGUUUCUCCCCAUGUGAUAGUCUGAAAUAUGGCCUCAUGGGAUGAGAAAGACCUGACCGUACCCCAGCCCGACACCUGUAAAGGGUCUGUGCUGAGGUGGAUUAGUAAUAGAGGAAAGCCUCUUGCAGCUGAGAUAGAGGAAGGCCACUGUCUCCUGCCUGCCCCUGGGAACUGAAUGUCUCAGUAUGAAACUCGAUUGUACAUUUGUUCAUUUCUGAGACAGGAGAAAAACUGCCCUAUGGCGGGAGGUGAGACGUGUUGGCAGCAAUGCUGCUUUGUUAUUCUUUACUCCACUGAGAUGUUUGGGCGGAGAGAAACAUAAAUCUGGCCUACGUGCACAUCCAGGCAUAGUACCUCCCCUUGAACUUAAUUAUGACACAGAUUCUUUUGCUCACAUGUUUUCUUGCUGACCUUCUCCCUAUUAUCACCCUGCUCUCCUACCUCAUUCUUCUUGCUGAGAUAGUGAAAAUAAUAAUCAAUAAAAACUGAGGGAACUCAGAGACCAGUGCCAGUGCAGGUCCUUGGUAUGCUGAGCACUGGUCCCCUGGGCCCACUUUUCUUUUUCUAUACUUUGUCUCUGUGUCUUAUUUCUUUUCUCAGUCUCUCGUCCCAUGUGACGAGAUAUACCCAC
rnacentral:lncRNA from 1 species